rnacentral:tRNA from 6 species
GGAGGAUUGGCUGAGUGGUUGAAAGCGGCGGUCUUGAAAACCGUUGUACCCUUCGGGUACCGCAGGUUCGAAUCCUGUGUCCUCCGCCA